GGGGAUAUAGCUCAGUUGGUAGAGCGUUUUGCCUUGCAUGCAAGAUUCAAUCCCCA
rnacentral:tRNA from 1 species